ACAAUUUUAACAUUUUAACAUUUAAGGUCACAGUGACCUUGACCUUCAAAUGAAUGACAUUGAAAUGACCAGUGGUCAUCUUCUAGUACUGGCCAAUCUUUAUUUCAAGUUUGAAGACUCUAGGUACAAGCAUACCAAAGUUAUAACAUGAAAUAAGAACUUUAACAUUUUUACAUUCAAGGUCACAGUGACCUUGACCUUCAAAUGAAUGACCUUGAAAUGUCCAGUGGUUACUUACUAGUUCUGGCCAACCUUCAUGUCAAGUUUCAAGACUCUAGGUCCAAGCAUACCAAAGUUAUAACAACUUUAACAUUUUUACAUUCAAGGUCACAGUGACCUUGACCUUCAAAUGAAUGACCUUGAAAUGUCCAGUGGUUACUUACUAGUUCUGGCCAACCUUCAUGUCAAGUUUCAAGACUCUAGGUCCAAGCAUACCAAAGUUAUAACAACUUUAACAUUUUUAUAUUGAAGGUCACAGUGACCUUGACCUUCAAAUGAAUGACCUUGAAAUGUCCAGUGGUUACUUACUAGUUCUGGCCAACCUUCAUGUCAAGUUUCAAGACUCUAGGUCCAAGCAUACCAAAGUUAUAACAACUUUAACAUUUUUACAUUCAAGGUCACAGUGACCUUGACCUUCAAAUGAAUGACCUUGAAAUGUCCAGUGGUUACUUACUAGUUCUGGCCAACCUUCAUGUCAAGUUUCAAGACUCUAGGUCCAAGCAUACCAAAGUUAUAACAACUUUAACAUUUUUAUAUUGAAGGUCACAGUGACCUUGACCUUCAAAUGAAUGACCUUGAAAUGACCAGUGGUCAUCUGUUAAUCCUGGCCAACCUUCAUGUCAAGUUUGAAGACUCUAGGUCCAAGCAUACCAAAGUUAUACCAUGAAAUAAGAACUUUAACAUUUUCGAGCACGCCGC